CUACCGAGGGCCUGCUUCUUAUUGGCUAUUGGCUAGAGGCUGGCCUUGCGUCCUAGUCGCCCCCCCCAUUCCCUGCCACGAGGCCCCCUCCAUGGGCAGUUCCCAACAUGGCUGCUUGCUUCUUCAGGGCCAGCAAGAGAGCCUCUCUCCCCGGUCUGCUCAGAUGGGAGUCUCAUAGAAGCCAGCCUAACCAUGGGAGUGACCUCCUGUCACCAACACACAACGUGACCUAACUGCAGGACUGACAUCCUGUCACCUCUGCCAUAUUGUGGUUUUGAAACGAGUCACCGGUGCCGCCUGCAUUUGGGGAGGGCAGCAGUCUCUGUAACACCACAGUUGGUCUAUUCCCCCACCUCUGGACUCCCCCACCCUGCCCGGCAGUUUUUUUUCAUAGCACAUUCCAGUCUCUGACAUACUAUGUCAUCUCCUUAUUAGUAUGUUUACCAGGCUCAGGCACGCCUCGGAGGGCGAGGGAAGCGGGGCUCCAGACCGACGCAAUGAGGUGCCACCCAAGAGCUGGUGAAGCAAUACGUGGGGCUGAGCCUAGUGAGGCAUAAUUUUAGAGGCUUCCCUGUGAUCCUAACGGUCAGCCAGGUUUCCGGGGCAGCAGACGGCAGGCCCCCUCUGGCGCAGGGGCGCUCAGCCCAAGCUGUUCAUCUGAAACACCGCAGAGCUUAAGAGACUGCUACCCAGACCCCACCUCGUGGCGGGGGGGCGAGUGGACCCCUAACAUUGGUAUGAUUUGAAAGUGCCCCUAGAUGAUUCUUCUGGGCAUCCGGGGUCCAGAACUGCUGCUCCAGAGCACAGUCGUGGGGACUCACACAGGGUCUCAGUGAAGCUUCGGACGCGGAGCAAGGAGGAGACCCAAGAGUCAGGCCAUCAGGUUUCGUAUUCUUCCAAGAAACAUUGAUUCCUUACCUGUGGGCAUGUUCCUCAAUUAUGGGUCACACCCAUUUACCCGGAAGAGCUAACCUCUGGCCCCUUGAGCCUACAGUUUGUGACAAGGUGGGCGGUAAGUAGGCUCCUUCCCCAGGCUCAUCUGCUGACAGGCUUAAUAUAUAUAUAUUUAGUUUUAACUAGGCUCCACACCCAGCACGGAGCCCAACCCGGGGCCUGAACUCACGACCCAAGCUGAGAUCAAGAAUCGGACACCCACCGGCUGCACCAUGAAGGUGCCCACCGCCAGGCUUCUGGGAGCAUAAGUUCACUGUCAGGCCCGGCCUGGGCCCAGAGGCUGUGCGGUGCCUGCGAGGCUUCACUUGGUGACUGUAGGGUUGUGUGACCGCGUGGACGGAAGGCUUUCCUGCAGCUGUCACCUUCAAGGCUUGCUCAUCAGUGGAUGCUCCCAGGUCAGGGCUUCUGGGAUUGGGCCCCGGGGGGGGGGGGGGGCGUCCUCUGCAGCCGGAAGAGAACUGAGUCCUGGCACAGAUACCUCCAACUCACUGCUCAGCUCAGGCUCUUUCUGGGAGGAAUGAGGACAUGGGGGGAGGGGGAGCCGUGUGGAGGCUUUCCUGUGUUUCUCCAUUCCCACCCCCUGCCCCCCAUUCUCUGAGACCCUGCAGCCAGGCACCCCCCACCCCAGCAGCCCCACCACAGAGCCCAGCCGCCCCCCUGGUGCAUCCUCAGGCAGGACAUGCCUCUGUGCCAGGAGCGUCCUCUGAGGCUGAAAGGCCUGAGUGUCAGGCGACACUGAACCACAUGGGACCCCUCACCAGCUCUCAGGUGGGAGCCCAUGACUCCUCUCCUUCUGGAAGGUUCCAGGUGGGUCCUGGGUCCAUCAGCUUCUGCAAACUGGUCACUAGAGGGCCAGUGUUCAGCAAGCUCCAUCCUCAAGAACAUCCUGCUUUUGGGUCAGUGCUUCAUCCUUGGUUCUCGCAGAGAGAACAAGGACAGGAAGUGCACCAUGGCCACCUGCUUCCUGUUUUGGGAGAAAGGAAGUCCUGAGACCACCCCAGGACUCAAUCUUGGAAGGGGAGAGUGGACAAUGGCAGCUGACCCAGUGGGGCCAUGGGUGGGCAGGAGACGGGAAAAGCCCCAGCACCGUGGGAAGGAUGGAGGCUGCAGGCGCGGGAUGCCCAGGGAGUGUCUGUGUGCGCCCUCCCCCCCAGGCCCCUUGUUCCAGCAGGCAGGUCCUGUGGGCCCAGAAGAGGGAACAGAGCAUUCUUCCUGAGCUUGCUCCCAGUGCCAGAACUGGGUGGGGGUGCACAGGGCCCUGAGGUGGCCCCAGGGGCUGGUUUCGAGGUGGGGGUGGUGAGACAGCUUGGGUAGGAGUCUCUCAGCCUGUUUGUACUCUCCAUGUCAGGGGCCAGCUGUGGGGGAGCAGAAGGGAGCAGGGUGAGUGGGCAGACUCAGUGCUGGGAGGCGGAUAGAGCUUGAGCGAGCCUGGACCCCGCCCCCCCAAGACCAGCUCCGAGAGUCCGAGCAGGGACCACCACCAUCACCCCCGUCACUAGAGCACCACCAGCACGUGGCGGCCAAUACCUGUCGGCCUGCACACGGAGCCUAGGAGACGGGUUCUGCUUUUCUCUGGCUUUGUGGGCCAGGGCACUGCGCACAGAGAGGCCAUGUGGCUUGCGGAGAUCACACAGCUGGGAAGCGGCCCAUUCAGGCUUGAGGCCUGGCCAGGGGCCAGCCCUGGGGCUGCAUGGGCUCCUUGUCCUCUUAGCAGCUCCCAAGCACACUGACAAAGGCCAGGGAGACUCUCGACAGCAUCCAAGCGGCAGGGCCACCAGCUCCAGAAGUUUCCAGCAUUAGGCUCUUGAGGAGUAUCCUCUGGGGGUUCGAGUACCUGCAGUGCCCUGGGGUGAGGACCGCUGAAGUCUGACCGAGGCCUGGAGGCUGGUCUACCAACUGCAGCCUCUCCCUGUCCUAAGCUACUGGCCUCUGGGACAGACGUGUCCUUCCCUGUCCACGGGGAAGCCCGGCUCUUGGAAGCCUCAUGCCCCCUGCUUUCAGUCUAGAAGAGGGGACCUCUCCCAAGUGCCUACUGCCACCCACAGGCGACACCAGCAGAGCCGGAGGCCUGUCCAGAGGAGCGGCUCUGGCGUCUGAAGGACAGACUUCGGGGGAACCACGGGGUCAAAGGGUGUGCUGGCUUAGCCCCCCCGCCCCCGUGCUGCUAACAGCCCCUCCCAGACGCCUCGCUGACUUGUAUGCCCACUUCUAGAUUCCUGCGGAGGCUGAACAUUUUUGCUGCUUUGAUGAUGGACAGCUGUGUCAGGCUCCAGCACCCCCAAAUGCCACAACCUCCCGAGGGCGGGGGUGGGGGUGGGGGAUGGGCGCCACGAUCCUGAUUCCAGCGCGGAAGUGGGGCCUCUGCACGUGUUAACCUUGAAAAUAAAACUUCUAGUCAUUUU